CAUAAGCUUAUAACUCAGUGAAUUAUCAACCUGCAAAACCUCAAGCAACAACAACACAGGUCAAGAAAUAGAGUAUCACCAGUCUCAAGGCUUCAGUCAAUCAUUAGGCCUUUCCUUCUGCCCCAAGGUGCCUUGUAAUGCAUUCCAGCGACAUUUAAACGUCAGCAUUGUUUCUACUGGUUGAAACACUGGCAUAGUUUUUGAGGAGGAUGGGCAUUAAAAAGGAAAAGUGGAAAUGGGAAAAAAGAAGUACUAAGAGAAUGAAUGAUAUGGAAGAGAGGACAUAAGAGUUUAGCAAAUGAGAUCCUAAGAGAAAUUUAAACAAAUUGGUUUCAUUCUUGGGAUGCUAAAACCCACUCCCCAAGUAAAGGUAAAAACGAAGAAGAGAAAAGGCAAGGCCGCACCCAGGUCAGAUCAGCUGGGAAAUUUUGUGCUUCGUGAUAUACUUGCAUCCCAG